GACGAACGCUGGCGGCGUGCCUAAUACAUGCAAGUCGAACGCUUCUUUCCUCCCGAGUGCUUGCACUCAAUUGGAAAGAGGAGUGGCGGACGGGUGAGUAACACGUGGGUAACCUACCCAUCAGAGGGGGAUAACACUUGGAAACAGGUGCUAAUACCGCAUAACAGUUUAUGCCGCAUGGCAUAAGAGUGAAAGGUGCUUUCGGGUGUCGCUGAUGGAUGGACCCGCGGUGCAUUAGCUAGUUGGUGAGGUAACGGCUCACCAAGGCCACGAUGCAUAGCCGACCUGAGAGGGUGAUCGGCCACACUGGGACUGAGACACGGCCCAGACUCCUACGGGAGGCAGCAGUAGGGAAUCUUCGGCAAUGGACGAAAGUCUGACCGAGCAACGCCGCGUGAGUGAAGAAGGUUUUCGGAUCGUAAAACUCUGUUGUUAGAGAAGAACAAGGACGUUAGUAACUGAACGUCCCCUGACGGUAUCUAACCAGAAAGCCACGGCUAACUACGUGCCAGCAGCCGCGGUAAUACGUAGGUGGCAAGCGUUGUCCGGAUUUAUUGGGCGUAAAGCGAGCGCAGGCGGUUUCUUAAGUCUGAUGUGAAAGCCCCCGGCUCAACCGGGGAGGGUCAUUGGAAACUGGGAGACUUGAGUGCAGAAGAGGAGAGUGGAAUUCCAUGUGUAGCGGUGAAAUGCGUAGAUAUAUGGAGGAACACCAGUGGCGAAGGCGGCUCUCUGGUCUGUAACUGACGCUGAGGCUCGAAAGCGUGGGGAGCAAAC
rnacentral:rRNA from 1 species